rnacentral:rRNA from 1 species
UACGGGGGGGGCAAGCGUUGUUCGGAAUUACUGGGCGUAAAGGGCUCGUAGGCGGCCAACUAAGUCAAACGUGAAAUCCCUCGGCUUAACCGGGGAACUGCGCUUGAUACUGGAUGGCUUGAGAUUGGGAGAGGGAUGCGGAAUUCCAGGUGUAGCGGUGAAAUGCGUAGAUAUCGGAAGGAACGCCGGUGGCGAAAGCGACGUGCUGGAUCUCUUCUGACGCUGAGGCGCGAAAGCCAGGGGAGCAAACGGG